CGUGCGCCGUGCAGCCGCGAGGCCCGGCCAACUCACGUCCUCCCUCGUCUCGUGUCAUCAUUUUUCGACUCUCACUAUCAUAAAUCGGCUAUUUCCUGCGUAUCGUCCAAUCGAUCGAUUACCAGAUUUCUCACAAAUUUUACAAGGCCAUACAAGGACAAAUUUUAUGCCUCACACGGCUGUUACGAGGAAACGUGGCGAACAUCCGGACUACAUCAUCCGGGAGCCUAUCAUCGAAACAAUGAAUCCGCCAUUGAUCGCGCCACGCUUGAAAAUAUCUCGCGAAACGAUACAUGACGGAAAAGUAAUGUGAAUAAAAACACGAAUGUUGCAUAAUCGAGCAAUGAUUUCUCCUGCAUGUAACAUCUCCAUUAUGGAACGAAUUUUAAAAGUUUAUUUAAAAAGAAGAUUAUUCGGUGAGAACGCCCGUGCACGAUGAUCGACGAAGACACAAGAAAACUAAAGAAAAAUUAUGUAUUAAAGUUAUAUUAAAAAUGAAAUUACUAUCGCUCGCAUCGCUCGUCUCAUCGUACAUCUUCGAUUCAUACAACUUUUGAAUGUAAUUAAUAAGUAUCUAUAAAUCUGUAAGGCAAAUCGUGAAAGAUCACAUCGACCUGCAUCGGGAAACGCAACGUGUAUCGAUUCGAGACGGAACUUUAUGGAGACGGUCUCUGUGUUGCAGCUGCAUGUGGAUAAUUAAAGAAUUGGGAAAGGAGAGAAAUAAAGAAAAUAGUCACAUAGCGCAAUCGCGGAAAUGGUCAGGACGACAC